GUCAGGCUCUGAAGCUAGGCUGCCCAGGAGGCCUGGGAGAAGCUUCUCUGGGCUUCGGGGGCUGGAAUAAGGGUCAAAAGGUGGAGAAGGGGAAAGGAGUGUGUGGGUCCUGUUCUGGUUCCCCAGCAGAGACUGUAAAUGUAGUCUCCCUGGGUCUAACGCUGGGUCUCUGCGAGGCCUCUCUGGCAUUAUCUCUCUAGACAGGUUUCUCUUUCUGAUCCCUUUCUCAGAAUUUAUUUUUGUUCUUCCUUUCCCAACCAGUUUAGAAAGGCUGGGUAUCCCCAGCCUGUUUGCUCUCCCCACCUCAUACAAGCAGCAAUCUAGAUUCUUCUAAUGAGAAUAUUCUCUUUUUUCUUUUCUUUUCAAGUCAGGCUUCUAGGUGUAGAAAUUAAGGCCAAUUGUUAUUAUCUCUUAUAUUUUUUCUGAACUUUCCAAUUUUUCUACAACGAGCACAGUCACAAAAUGGAAGAAGGGGAAGAAAUUUAGAAAAGUAGUGAGUUACACUGAUAUCCAACCAAUUUAGAAGAGGAGAAUCUGGAGAGAUUAUGGAGACCGAAGGAGUAAGUAAAAUGACAGGAGAAAUGGUCAGGAAAGACAUUGGGGUGGGGCAUGUGUAUUAGAGGGGGAGACAUCCUCUUUCCCUCUCCGAGCCCUUUCCUCAAGUUGCUUAGAAAAGAGAGAAGUAGGGAAGAAGAAAAAAGCCGUAAGGGCCACUGCUUCUUGGAAGCGCUGCCUCUGGAAUCGGAGCUAGAUAGCACGCCCCAGCUAGGCGGUUCCCUCCGGUGGGAGGCGCUCGGUUUGCAAGGAGUUAACAGCGUUGCUCGUGAACUUGGCCUGUCUGUCUGGCUCGUGAUGGAUGGUGAGACUCGCUGACAAGUUCAGCCGGAGGGACCUCCCCUGCUGUGGAGGCGGGAGAAACACGUAGGCGGAGGGGACCCUGGGCGAGCGGCCGGGACGCGCGGGUAAGACUGUGGUUUGGCGAGGGAGGGCGACCGACAAGGCGCCUUGACCACUCGCCUCCUCCCCUGGAGCCUGCCUCUACCAUCCUGAAGCACCAAAGUUUCCCGGAGCUUCGCGCACGUCUCCCCCGCAGUCGCCUCCCUCCUCGGCGCCCUCUUCUCGGGCACGAACUCACCCUGGCACCCGUUCGUAGGAGGGCGCGCGGUUGGAAAGGUGAGUGGCCAGAGCCGGGGCGUGGGAGGAGGAGCUGCCCGCUGCCCGCUGCCCGCUGCCCGCUGCCCGGGGGCGCCAAGAACGGGCGUGGGGGCCGGCAGCCCGGAGGCUGGGAGACGCCGCGAUUAGGUCGGCGGAGCGCGCGCGUCUUUACCCGGGUCACCGGGAAGGCAGCCCCACUGCUUCCCGGGCGGGAGCCGGUGCCGUCCUCCCCGGGUCCCUCCGCGACACGCCCACGCCGGGGACUGGCGUUGACCACACACGUCCACGGGCACGCUGUGCUCUGCGGUCCAGGCCGGCGGAGCACGGGCGCGGGGCGGCCUCCCGGACGCCGGGGCUCUCCCCGUCGGUGUCCGCGGGAACCCGAGCCCGGCGCCCGGCGCCCGGGGUGGCGCGGAGGCCUCUCGCGGCUGCGGGGAGCCCGGGGCGCCGGGACGCCGCCUGGGCCCCGCAGCCUUCGGGACCCGCGGGGCCGCCGGCCACGGAGCGCGGGCGCGGGCGCGGGGGGCGCGCAGCCCGGACCCCGGACCCCGGACCGCGGACCGCGGGCCCGGCGGGGAGGCGGGGAGGCGGGCAGGGCGCCGCGGGGCCGGGAGGCCAUUUUGAGAGCGAGGAGCGGCCGCAAGAUGGCUGCGUGGGCACGAGGUAGGUCGCGGCGCGGCCCACGGAAGCGGAACGCGCGUGGAGCGCGCCCUCCCGCCGGUCCCCGCCGCUGCGCUCGGGCGCCCCUACGGCGGCGGGCCGGGCCCUCCGUCGCGGCUGGCGGUGCGCCCCGGGCCGCUGCGUGCGCUCCCGCCGGAGCCACCGGGAGGGACGCGCGCGGUCCGAGCCCUCCGCGGCCGGCCCGGGGUCGGGCAGGGGCGGAGCCGUGGCGCGGGGUCGCAGUCCCCAGCCGCGCGCGCUUCGCGCUCUUCCAUUCUUUCCGCGGAAUGUCGGGCGCACGGCGGACGCUCGCUCUCGCCCCGACACCGCGAGGCCCGGUGGCGAGCAGAGCCGGGCCGCCCUGCCCCAGCUCGCGGACGGCGUCUGCAGCGCUCGGGCCGAGGACGCCCCCGCCUCCCGCCCCAGGCCGGCCAGCACCCUCCCUGGCGGGGCUGCGGCGACGGGGGUAG
rnacentral:lncRNA from 1 species